AGAACUUAGCAGAGAUGCUUUGGUGCCUUCGGGGAACUCUGAGACAGGUGCUGCAUGGCUGUCGUCAGCUCGUGUUGUGAAAUGUUGGGUUAAGUCCCGCAACGAGCGCAACCCUUAUCCUUUGUUGCCAGCGGUCCGGCCGGGAACUCAAAGGAGACUGCCAGUGAUAAACUGGAGGAAGGUGGGGAUGACGUCAAGUCAUCAUGGCCCUUACGAGUAGGGCUACACACGUGCUACAAUGGCGCAUACAAAGAGAAGCGACCUCGCGAGAGCAAGCGGACCUCAUAAAGUGCGUCGUAGUCCGGAUUGGAGUCUGCAACUCGACUCCAUGAAGUCGGAAUCGCUAGUAAUCGUGGAUCAGAAUGCCACGGUGAAUACGUUCCCGGGCCUUGUACACACCGCCCGUCACACCAUGGGAGUGGGUUGCAAAAGAAGUAGGUAGCUUAACCUUCGGGAGGGCGCUUACCACUUUGUGAUUCAUGACUGGGGUGAAGUCGUAACAAGGUAGGCGUAGUGCU
rnacentral:rRNA from 1 species